CCUACGGGAGGCUGCAGUGGGGAAUAUUGGGCAAUGGGCGCAAGCCUGACCCAGCAACGCCGCGUGAAGGAAGAAGGCUUUCGGGUUGUAAACUUCUUUUGUCAGGGACGAAGCAAGUGACGGUACCUGACGAUUAAGCCUCGGCUAACUACGUGCCAGCAGCCGCGGUAAUACGUAGGUGGCAAGCGUUAUCCGGAUUUAGUGGGUGUAAAGGGCGUGUAGGCGGGAAUGCAAGUCAGAUGUGAAAAGUAUGGGCUCAACCCAUAGCCUGCAUUUGAAACUGGAUGUCUUGAGUGCAGUAGAGGCAAGCGGAAUUCGUGGUGUAGCGGUGAAAUGCGUAGAUAUACGGAGGAACACCAGUUGCGAAGGCGGAUUGCUGGACUGUAACUGACGCUGAGGCGCGAAAGCGUGGGGAGCAAACAGGAUUAGAUACCCUUGUAGUC
rnacentral:rRNA from 1 species